rnacentral:tRNA from 1 species
GCGGAUUUAGCUCAGUUGGGAGAGCGCUAGACUGAAGAUCUAUAGAGUCACUAGACCGAUCCUGGCAAUUCCGCA